GGCUGGUUUAAAGGCCUUUUUUUCUGUCCAUUGGAUGAACUGGAUGUCAAUAACUCAGGCUGGGUGGGCGGGGCUGAGAGAGGUCGGUGAGAGCGGCCUUAGCAACCGCCAGUGAGCUGUGAAGACUUGGGUUGGGCGGGGCUGCGGGAGGUGACGCCGGGAGGUCCCGGCUGAGAGCGCCGGCUGCCGGCUGGGGACAUGGCAUCUAACUACCAUACAAGUUCAGACCAAUGGAAGAAAAGAGCAGCAAAAAUUGAACUGAAUGAAUCCCAAAAGCAAGAAAUUAAAGACGCCUUUAAUUUAUUUGAUAUUGAUGGGUCUGGAACCAUCGAUAUAAAAGAAGGAAAUGCUUGAUGAAGCUGAUCGUGAUGGAGAUGGAGAAAUAAACGAGGAAGAUUUUUUGAGAGUGAUGAAAAAGACUACUCGUUAUUAAUAGCGUUGUUUUAGUCCUUGUGGAAAAUUAACAAAUUUGUAUUUGUUAUGCAGUUUUAUAAUUUAAUAUCUGAAUGUAUUCAUUUUCAGUUUUUAGUUUAUAUGUACACAUUGGCUUCUUGAUGUCUAAUCCAUGUAAGAAGUUACACAUCUCUACCAAUAUGAUGUUAAAUCUACAGCAUCAAGAAACAAAACAUAAUGACUUCUUUGAGCCAUUAAUCCAAGAACAGUAUUGAUUCUAGCUGCUCUUUUGAGAACCUUAGGUCACAAAGACUUAGAAUUUUAAAGUUUGAUGAAGUUGGCUUCACAUCCAAAUGAAUUUGGCAAACAAAACUUAUAUUUUCCUUUCGUGCAACCCAAAAAAACCUGAUAAACAUUUGCUUUUUAGUCAGUUACUCAAAUACAUAAAGUAUUAAAUAGAACUGUCUGGAAACAUUAUUUGCUAAUUUUCUUCUUUUAGUUAUAAAGAAAAUUCAAAAUAGCACUUACAUCACC
rnacentral:lncRNA from 1 species